UAUGCUGAAGUGUGUGAAAGAGUUCAUUCUGAUCUGGUUGGGUUUGAGACAGGCAGUCACUCUCAGUCGAUUUGUUUCUGGGGAGAGAAUGAGAGCUACGAUCAUGUGGAGUGCAGCCCAGGACAAAGAAUUAGACUCAAGACAAGAGGAGACUCUCUACUGAUAGAGUCAUUCACAAAGCUGGAUAGUGAUCAGCGAGCUCACUCAUCAAACUACACUGGAGGAGAGAAGACAGGACAGAGCUGGACUAAUAAAAUACUGGGACACAAAUCAACUGAUGAACCCAGCCAGGGAACGGGAGGAGGAGGAGGGGAGGUUGAUGAUGAUGAAUGGGAUGACUGAGUAUACACAAGAAACCAAAAUAACUUUUUAUUAUUCAAUUUUAGUUCAAGUCAUGACACUAUUACUUUUAGCAUCAGUGAAUGAUAAUUAAAAUGUAUCAUUGUUUGUUAGAAAAAUAAUGCUGUAUACACAGUAUACUGAUGUACAGUGUAUUACAAUAAGUUUGUGUGUGAGUGUAUUAUUGGUUCUUUAUGAUUUAGCAUCCCACCUCCA